AAGUAGGGGGCAAGCGUUGUCCGGAAUGAUUGGGCGUAAAGGGCGCGUAGGCGGCCUGGUAAGUCUGGUGUGAAAGUCCUGCUUUUAAGGUGGGCAUUGCUUUGGAUACUGCUGGGCUUGAGUGUAGGAGAGGUAAGUGGAAUUCCCGGUGUAGCGGUGAAAUGCGUAGAGAUCGGUAGGAACACCAGUGGCGAAGGCGACUUUCUGGACUGUAACUGACGCUGAGGCGCGAAAGUGUGGGGAGCAAACAG
rnacentral:rRNA from 1 species